UAAGCGGAGGAAAAGAAACUAACAAGGAUUCCCCUAGUAACUGCGAGUGAAGCGGGAAAAGCUCAAAUUUAAAAUCUGGUGGUCUUUGGCCAUCCGAGUUGUAAUCUAGAGAAGCGUCUUCCGCGCUGGACCGUGCACAAGUCUCCUGGAACGGAGCGUCGUAGAGGGUGAGAAUCCCGUCUUUGGCAUGGACACACCAGGGCUUUUGUGAUGCGCUCUCGAAGAGUCGAGUUGUUUGGGAAUGCAGCUCAAAAUGGGUGGUGAACUCCAUCUAAAGCUAAAUAUUGGCGAGAGACUGAUAGCGAACAAGUACCGUGAGGGAAAGAUGAAAAGCACUUUGGAAAGAGAGUGAAACAGUACGUGAAAUUGUUAAAAGGGAAACGCUUGAAGUCAGUCGCGUCGACCGAGACUCAGCCUCGCCUCGGCUUGGUGUACUUCUCGGCCCGACGGGUCAGCAUCAAUUUCGCCUCUUGGAUAAUGGCGAGGGAAACGUGACACCUUUACGGUGUGUUAUAGUCUCUCGUCGCAUGCAAGGGUCGGGAUUGAGGAACUCAGCACGCGCCUUUGGGCGUCGGGGCUUUGCCUACGAUACGUGCUUAGGAUGUUGGCGUAAUGGCUUUAAACGACC
rnacentral:rRNA from 1 species